AACCUGAGAACAUAACCAGGAAACUAUAGUGACAUCACUUCGAUGCAAUGCUGCUGUGAAUGCUUCCUCAAAUUUGCACUCAGCUAUCAAUCUGGAUAAUUCUUUUGUUGGAUCCAAAUGAGCCUCAGCCAUCUCAUGUAGACCAGCCAAUGGUCCAUUACUCAAAGAAGGAUUUCCCACUUUGGAAUUCGCACCUGCAGCUGCAAUAGCUAAAAGAUUGCGUUGGCCCUCGGCUAAUCGUCCACUCAGGGUCUGAGUGAUUGAUGAUGCUGAACUGAUAGCAUCCCUAAGAGCAAUGGCCAAGUGAGAAUGCGUGGAGUCAAACUGUUGCUGAAUGGCAUGUAGAUGAUCAAUGAACCCUUU
rnacentral:misc_RNA from 1 species